GACGAACGCUGGCGGCGUGCUUAACACAUGCAAGUCGAACGGAAAGGCCCUGCUUUUGUGGGGUGCUCGAUUGGCGAACGGGUGAGUAACACGUGAGUAACCUGCCCUUGACUUUGGGAUAACUUAAGGAAACUGGGGCUAAUACCGUAUAGGAGCUCCUGCUGCGUGGUGGGGAUUGGAAAGUUUCGGCGGUUGGGGAUGGACUCGCGGCUUAUCAGCUUGUUGGUGGGGUAGUGGCUUACCAAGGCUUUGACGGGUAGCCGGCCUGAGAGGGUGACCGGCCACAUUGGGACUGAGAUACGGCCCAGACUCCUACGGGAGGCAGCAGUGGGGAAUAUUGCACAAUGGGCGGAAGCCUGAUGCAGCAACGCCGCGUGCGGGAUGACGGCCUUCGGGUUGUAAACCGCUUUCGCCUGUGACGCAGCGUGAGUGACGGUAAUGGGUAAAGAAGCACCGGCUAACUACGUG
rnacentral:rRNA from 1 species